AAUUGUGGCAAAGCAACGCGGGCGAUAUUUUCAAUCUCCAAAAUUUUCACUCGCGCCCAUAUUUCAUCUCUUCCCUCUUCUGUCUUUUAUUUUCCAAAUCAAUCCUAAACUCAAAUCAGUAGUUUGCAGUUGCACAAAUCAUCAAUUUCCUCAACACUAUCAUUUUCCCUUUUGUUCGAAUCAUGAACUCGAAUCUGGUUGUACCCAAAAAACCCUAAAAUCAUGAAGAAAUCCAUUAAUCCUAAUCCCUAAUCGUUUUAUUUCGUCCUUGUUUCCGACCCUAAUCAUUCUUCUCUUUAUGGAUUGUUUCCAAUUCCGCUUGCUAGGUUCUCUUUCUACGCAUACUGGUACGUCUCAAAAGGUUUUAUAAUCUUUUUUCCAUCAGAUUUAGAGGGACACCAAGGAGUCUUCUUCAUCCACCCGUGAGUCUCUAUGAUAUCCAAAUCAAGCUUUUAUCUUCUGAUUCCUCUUUUUCAUUUUAGGCACUCAUUUUUAUUUCUACACCCUUUUUUAUACAUUUGAGUUGUAUAGCAUCAUUAGUUCCAUUUGCUUUCAAUAUGUUUAGUAUAGUUAUUAUUUGAGACAACAAAGAGAAAUAAAAUAAAAUUCAAAAUAAUAUAAACUGAACAUCUUUGUGUGUAUAUUAGUGUUUGUGCAUUUUUUAAAGGGUAAUUAAGUAUGGGCCAUCAUGUGCUUCACCUUUAGUAAAAUCAGCUUUAUAGUUUUGUUAAACAGACUCAUAUUUUGCGGUUUUGAUUUUAGUUAGGUUUUGAUUUUUUUUCUUUCAUUUUUAACUAUGUGUGUAGUUUUUUUUAUACUUUGGGUGAUCUUGGGACCAAAUGUACUGUUUUGGAAGACAAAAUUUAGUGGAGGAUGUAUUUUGUUGCCUAAAUGUUGAUGUAUGGUCCGUGUUUUUCCUGCAUUUUCUCUAUCAUUUCUGGAUCAUUGUUGUUUUGUUUCUGGUGCAGGGUAGUUUCAGUUUUGGUGUUAAGACAGGGUUCUCAUGUAUUGGUUUUUGUUGUUACGCGUUGGGGAUUGUUGUUUGUUUUUCUUCUGUUCUGGUUUUGCGGUUAUCCGUUGGAUUUUAGGCUCUAUUAGUGCUGGUUUAGGUUGGUUACUACUGUAGUUUUGUUUAGCAGGUGGUGUUGUCUUGUUGAGCCUUUUUAGGCUUUUCUAAUUGACUCAAAAGUUACCAAGCCACAAUCAAUAUGAAACAAUGAACUAUGUAUACUAUAUAUUAGAUAUACCCCUUAUUUCAAAGUCAAUGGGAGUAAGAAUAAAGAUAACUUAUUUUCUUGUAGUGUCAAUUUUAAGUUCUCCUUUUCUUUAUUUUAAUGACAUCAAUAGUUAUAUUUUAACUUUUUUUUUUUUGGUCAAGAGUUAUAUUUUAACUUUAAAUAUAGAACACUUGAUACUCACUAUGCCUCAGAUGAAAUAACUUAGUUACUUUCACAUGUUCAGCUUCUCAAUACUAGCAUUGUUCUAGUACUCAAGAAGAGUUGAAGCACUUGAUUUGCUCAUUACUUGUUUGAUGGGAUGCUCUUUAGUUACUAAUUGAUUACCACAAAAAUGUAAGUUGUAAUUGUUAUGGAUGAAAAAUACUUUAUAAAAUUGACACUAUUUUAUGAUUCUAGACUUUUGUUGAAGUUAGGAGGCUCAUGUUGGAUACUUGUUGCACUGAAUUUUUUUUUCUGGUGGUGUCAAUUAUAGUUAGAAAUUUAGUCUGGUGCAGUGUAUUUAUAUUGUAACAUUGUAUUCCUGCAUACUGUUGUCAUUGUUGUGGAUGAGAAGUACUUUAUUAAAUUGACAUUACUUUAUGAUGUUAGGUUUUUGUCAAGGUUAGGAUGCUCAUAUUGGAUAGAACUCCCUGUUCAAGUCAAUCAAAGCUUUAAAGCUCUAUCAAUGUCAAUAUGUUCCAGCUGUAAAACAAGGUAGUCACAUCAAGUGAGAAGUUUGAUAGGCUGGCUUCUGGGAAAAUACAUCUGCUGCUUCAAAUGAUAUAAAGGUUAAACCGAAAGUGAUGUAAAAGAUACAUAAAGGAAUUAGAGCUUAUAAAGACACUUCACAGAGAUCAAUCUAGAGAUGACAUAGACUAUGUUCAAGACCAAACAAAUUAUCCAAGUCCACACAUUGAUGAAGAUGGAAGAGAUGAAGAUUAGAAGCUAAUUAUAUUUCGACGAAUUAGCUUUAGUUACUUUUCGUUAUGUAUUUUUGAUAUUAUGUAGUGCCACAGUGGUGCAUUUGAUACUUUGUAAGAACGACAAAUUUUUAUGUUAAUGUUACAAAUUUGGUGUUGAUCAAAA